CAAAAUUGAACUGUUUAUCAUUAUGAGACUCCAACUCAGUCCAUUAGCAUCAAGCACCAUUGCAUCGGUAUCAAGAGUUUUAACUAUGAAAAGAAAAAAGGAAGCUCUGUGUAGUUAGGUUCUUUCUGCUCUAACAUAAGGGCAGCGCUAAGAGUGAACAGUGAACAGCUCCCAGGCCAGAUCCACCAUAAAGAGCUCAAGAUGGAGGCAACAAGCACAGACAGAUAUGGAACCUUUGCCCACUGUGACAUAGCAGGCAAGCCUGGGUCAGCUCCAGAGUGGCAAUAGAGGGAAAUUCCCAGGACUCCAGGCCUCUUGGAAGUUUCCAAGGCCUUCAACUGAUCACAGAUCCUGGUUUUUCUCCCAUUGGCUAAAAAGAUAAUAAAUAAAAGUUACAGCUUGA